rnacentral:misc_RNA from 1 species
CUAGCGGGGGAGGGAUUUGUAGUUUUCCAUGGUGACAGCGUAAAAAGGGUAUAGUAGACUUCAUGCCAAAACAGUGAAUGGUACAACUAUUUGUCUGGGAUAUGAAUUCUCUGGCUUUUUGGAAAUCUUGGGCGUAUGAUUGAAUGAAAGUUGCCUAGCAUUGACCAGGAGAUUGCUAGAUGUAUUAACUAUUACGUGAUUGUAAAUUUAUAAAUUCUUUUCAUGGUUUGUAUCAGCAACUUUUUAAUUCUUAAAUAUUGCAAGAUUAGCAACUAAAAUAUUAUUUUAUCUCAGAU